rnacentral:rRNA from 1 species
UGGGAUGACGUCAAAUCAUCAUGCCCCUUAUGACCUGGGCUACACACGUGCUACAAUGGUUGGUACAACGAGUUGCGAGUCGGUGACGGCGAGCUAAUCUCUUAAAGCCAAUCUCAGUUCGGAUCGUAGUCUGCAACUCGACUACGUGAAGUCGGAAUCGCUAGUAAUCGCAGAUCAGCAUGCUGCGGUGAAUACGUUCCCGGGUCUU